rnacentral:misc_RNA from 1 species
CUAGUACUCGUAGCCAGAAGUUGCAUUGGUUUAUCGGUAACGCGCCUGUGGUGAAAUCUCGUUGCUCGCAAAAAGACAGCUACUAUAGUUUCCUAUCCGUUCUAGCGAUAAUUUAAGAAUGUUUUCGUGCGCCUUGCUGUCGUUAUUAAUUAUGGAGAGUGCAGCAUUUCUUUUAUGCUUGAAUGCUUCGGCGUUUUGUAACAUUCUGGCCAUGUAAGGUUUGAGCGAUUAUUGCUAGAAAAAGUUAAGAAUGUACGUGGUGUACUUGAGGAACUUCCACUGGAGAGGCGUGUUUUCUUUCUG